rnacentral:tRNA from 1 species
UGGGGGGUAGUAUAAGUUGGUAGUACAUAAGGUUUUGAGUCUUAUAGUGCGGGUUCAAGUCCCGGUCUCUCAG